rnacentral:rRNA from 1 species
CCUACGGGUGGCAGCAGUGGGGAAUAUUGCACAAUGGGCGCAAGCCUGAUGCAGCCAUGCCGCGUGUGUGAAGAAGGCCUUCGGGUUGUAAAGCACUUUCAGCGGGGAGGAAGGCGUUAAGGUUAAUAACCUUGUCGAUUGGCGUUACCCGCAGAAGAAGCACCGGCUAACUCCGUGCCAGCAGCCGCGGUAAUACGGAGGGUGCAAGCGUUAAUCGGAAUUACUGGGCGUAAAGCGCACGCAGGCGGUCUGUCAAGUCGGAUGUGAAAUCCCCGGGCUCAACCUGGGAACUGCAUUCGAAACUGGCAGGCUAGAGUCUUGUAGAGGGGGGUAGAAUUCCAGGUGUAGCGGUGAAAUGCGUAGAGAUCUGGAGGAAUACCGGUGGCGAAGGCGGCCCCCUUGACAAAGACUGACGCUCAGGUGCGAAAGCGUGGGGAGCAAACAGGAUUAGAUACCCCUGUAGUC